rnacentral:rRNA from 1 species
UACCGCGGUUAUACGAGAGGCUCGAGUUGACAGGCUCCGGCGUAAAGCGUGGUUAAGGGUAAAUUAAACACUAAAGCCGAACGCUUACUAGGCUGUUAUACGUACCCGAAAGUAAGAAGCUCAACUACGAAGGUGGCUUUACCUUACCUGACCCCACGAAAGCUAAGGCA